rnacentral:other from 1 species
AGCUUUUACGAGGUACCAGCACUUUCCUCUCGUUGGGGCGAAGGAGUGAGGAAAGGCCCGAACAGCAGCAGACUUUGAAACUGUAAACACAGGCGCGUCCAAGUGCCCGAGCCCGCCUUUGCAUUUUCCUUCACCUUCUACGGAGCUGUCAGUGGCCGCCUACUUCACUUCUUUUAAGAGGAAGAAGGGCGCCCUGGCCACG